rnacentral:lncRNA from 1 species
UGCUGGUCCCUGCCCUCCGCCGCAGCGGGGCUGGGACUCAGCAGUAGGGUCCCGGAGCUGCCUUUGGUGCGCAUGGGCGCGCACGGGCUGGGGUGUAGACGGGGCGCAGAAGGCUGUGCUUCGCGGAGGCCUGCGUGGUGGUGCCUGCCCCGAGCGUGGCUCUGAGCGACCACUGGAGAGGCUGAUGCAUGGGUCUAGAGGGAAAGCAGUCAGGAGUGGGAGGCCUCUGAACAAGCUGUAUUUUGUGUAGCCGCCAGCUUCCAUCUUUCUCCAGGCAGAACUCUGGCCCUCAGCACAUCUUUCUGCUUCCCCUCGGUCAGACCACCGAGAACUGCCGCUGUCCUGUCUGACUCCUCCUGUUUUGGUGAGUAAUAUAGGGAGGCUGAGGGUUUGAUAUUAUUUGGCUCCAUAUUUUAAAAAGAUAU